ensembl:lncRNA
GGCUGGGGAGCCAAGUGACCUGGGGGCUAGUUCUCUUUCUCUGCUUCUGCGUUUCUUCCUCUGAAAAAUGAAAGGGUUGGAUUCAGUGAUCUAUGGUCCUUUUCUCUUUUAGAGAUUCUAUGAAGCUGUGGUUUCAGGAGAGUCGGAUAUCUUCAAAAUGUUCCCUUUUUCAUUAAAGCAAUAGCCACUGAUACAGGGGAAGGAUCCUGGACAUUUCCAGUGAGGAAACUUUAGGACUAGGCCCUCUGGUGUUUAACCUUGAGAAAUGGGAACAAAGGAAGUUUCCUUCACAAAGGAAGGUGUUUAUUCGAGGAAAUCGGUUAUACAUCUUUGAACCUCUCUUUGCUGUAACGACCUUCUGGUGCUCAUUAGCAAGCUGAUUACCAUUAACACAGCUAUAACGCAGCAAUUUUCUUGGUGUAUGUCGAGGAGAAAUGCUCAUCUGAAUGCAGUCAGGGGACAAAAUUAACUGCAUAAAUCUACAGCGCAAACUGGAUCUCGUCCAACUUUGCACGUCUUUCCUCUCCUGGUUGUGACAUCAUCAUCCAGAAUCCCACUGACGGCUUAAUAAGUAUCUCAGGGUUUCAUAUUUAAUUUCCUUUCAUCUCCGUAUAUUACAUUUCAACUUAAUUUCAGGAGCGCCUGACCAC